UGCAAGUCGAGGGGCAGCAUCAUUAAAGCUUGCUUUGAUGGAUGGCGACCGGCGCACGGGUGAGUAACACGUAUCCAACCUGCCGACAACACUGGGAUAGCCUUUCGAAAGAAAGAUUAAUACCGGAUGGCAUAGUCUUCCCGCAUGGGAUGACUAUUAAAGAAUUUCGGUUGUCGAUGGGGAUGCGUUCCAUUAGGCAGUUGGCGGGGUAACGGCCCACCAAACCAACGAUGGAUAGGGGUUCUGAGAGGAAGGUCCCCCACAUUGGAACUGAGACACGGUCCAAACUCCUACGGGAGGCAGCAGUGAGGAAUAUUGGUCAAUGGACGAGAGUCUGAACCAGCCAAGUAGCGUGAAGGAUGACUGCCCUAUGGGUUGUAAACUUCUUUUAUACGG
rnacentral:rRNA from 1 species